rnacentral:rRNA from 1 species
ACGCUCGACACCUACGGGAGGCAGCAGUGGGGAAUAUUGCACAAUGGGGGAAACCCGUGAUGCAGCGACGCCGCGUGAGCGAAGAAGUAUUUCGGUAUGUAAAGCUCUAUCAGCAGGGAAGAAGAAAGACGGUACCUGACUAAGAAGCCCCGGCUAACUACGUGGCAGCAGCCGCGGUAAUCUGAGCGGGCUGGCAAGGC